UGGCUUUUGUGGAUUAUUACUUCAUAAUGUUUGGACAAACAUCAAUUAACAUACAUCAAAACGUUUCCACUUGUGUCCCUCUAUGAAUGGAGGAGACCCAAAAGACACAUGGGUUUGGAAACACUCACGUGGAGAUGACAGGAGGCCAGGCUGUGCAGACAACACAGGUGGUUGCCAUUUGAGAUGGAUGCCUGAAGCAAAGGCCUCACCUGGGGCUGCUUGUGUACCUGCUCUGUCCUCUCCACAUUAAAAUUUCUGCUUUUAUUUUAUGUACAUAACUGCAACCACAGGCAAUCUUUCAAUAUGAUCUUUAAAGCCAAUUAUCUUCUAUUAUCUGUGUGGAGGGACAAUCCUAUUCCGUAAAAUCAUUGAAUUGUAUUUGUGUUGAGGACAACAGAACUUUAAGAGAUAUAUGCUUCAAAUAUGCAAGAAA
rnacentral:lncRNA from 1 species